AUUGAACGCUGGCGGCAUGCCUUACACAUGCAAGUCGAACGGCAGGCACGGGAGCAAUCCUGGUGGCGAGUGGCGAACGGGUGAGUAAUAUAUCGGAACGUGCCCAGUCGUGGGGGAUAACGUAGCGAAAGCUACGCUAAUACCGCAUACGAUCUAUGGAUGAAAGCGGGGGAUCGCAAGACCUCGCGCGAUUGGAGCGGCCGAUAUCAGAUUAGGUAGUUGGUGAGGUAAAGGCUCACCAAGCCGACGAUCUGUAGCUGGUCUGAGAGGACGACCAGCCACACUGGGACUGAGACACGGCCCAGACUCCUACGGGAGGCAGCAGUGGGGAAUUUUUGGACGAUGGGCGCAAGCCUGAUCCAGCAAUGCCGCGUGCAGGAUGAAGGCCUCGGUU
rnacentral:rRNA from 1 species